rnacentral:rRNA from 1 species
UCUUUUAAUUUUUUUCCAUCCUCCGCGGUAAUACGUAGGGGGCAAGCGUUAUCCGGAUUUACUGGGUGUAAAGGGAGCGUAGACGGAUGGACAAGUCUGAUGUGAAAGGCUGGGGCUCAACCCCGGGACUGCAUUGGAAACUGCCCGUCUUGAGUGCCGGAGAGGUAAGCGGAAUUCCUAGUGUAGCGGUGAAAUGCGUAGAUAUUAGGAGGAACACCAGUGGCGAAGGCGGCUUACUGGACGGUAACUGACGUUGAGGCUCGAAAGCGUGGGGAGCAAACAGG